rfam:Listeria aquatica FSL S10-1188 c11, whole genome shotgun sequence.
GAAACCCUAAUGUAUACGUAUAGUGCCUACUAUUUUUGAACCGAACAAUCUUUCUUACCUUGGGAACUCGGUGUUCGAACGCGGCGCACAUGCCUUUUCACGAGGACUUGCAAAACGCUCGACAGAGUACCCACCUGCUUAUACGGCGGGUUCAAAGGAUGGGGCUCCAAACGGUACGAUUGGGGUUUCU